rnacentral:rRNA from 1 species
GACGUAGGAUGCAAGCGUUGUCCGGAUUUAUUGGGCGUAAAGAGUUCGUAGGUGGUUCGUUAAGUCUGAUGUUAAAGACUGGGGCUCAACCCUGGAAGUGCAUUGGAUACUGGCGGACUUGAGUGUGGUAGAGGCAAUCGGAAUUCCAGGUGUAGCGGUGAAAUGCGUAGAUAUCGAGAGGAACACCUGCGGCGAAGGCGGGUUGCUGGGCUGACACUGACGCUGGAAGCGCGAAAGCUAGGGGAGCGAACGGG